rnacentral:rRNA from 1 species
GACGAACGCUGGCGGCGUGCUUAACACAUGCAAGUCGAACGGAAAGGCCCUUCGGGGUACUCGAGUGGCGAACGGGUGAGUAACACGUGGGUGAUCUGCCCUGCACUUUGGGAUAGGCCUGGGAAACUGGGUCUAAUACCGAAUAGGACCACGCGCUUCAUGGUGUGUGGUGGAAAGCUUUUGCGGUGUGGGAUGGGCCCGCGGCCUAUCAGCUUGUUGGUGGGGUAAUGGCCUACCAAGGCGACGACGGGUAGCCGGCCUGAGAGGGUGACCGGCCACACUGGGACUGAGAUACGGCCCAGACUCCUACGGGAGGCAGCAGUGGGGAAUAUUGCACAAUGGGCGCAAGCCUGAUGCAGCGACGCCGCGUGAGGGAUGACGGCCUUCGGGUUGUAAACCUCUUUCAAUAGGGACGAAGCGCAAGUGACGGUACCUAUAGAAGAAGCACCGGCCAACUACGUG